rnacentral:rRNA from 1 species
UACGUAGGGUGCGAGCGUUAAUCGGAAUUACUGGGCGUAAAGCGUGCGUAGGCGGUUUCCUAAGUCGGAUGUGAAAGCCCUGGGCUCAACCUGGGAAUGGCACUCGAUACUGGGAAGCUGGAGUGCGGUAGAGGAGGGUGGAAUUCCCGGUGUAGCGGUGAAAUGCGCAGAUAUCUGGAGGAACACCGGUGGCGAAGGCGGCAUCCUGGACCGGUAUUGACGCUGAGGCGCGAAAGCCAGGGGAGCAAACGGG